rnacentral:rRNA from 1 species
UACGUAGGGUGCGAGCGUUAAUCGGAAUUACUGGGCGUAAAGGGCUCGUAGGUGGCCAACUAAGUCAGACGUGAAAUCCCUCGGCUUAACCGGGGAACUGCGUCUGAUACUGGAUGGCUUGAGUUCGGGAGAGGGAUGCGGAAUUCCAGGUGUAGCGGUGAAAUGCGUAGAUAUCUGGAGGAACACCGGUGGCGAAGGCGGCAUCCUGGACCGAUACUGACACUGAGGAGCGAAAGCCAGGGGAGCAAACGGG